AUCAUUUAAUAAAAAUAUGCCAUACUAUAUAUGACUCUGUGAAGCGAUUAAAAAAAAAAAAAGAAAAAUCAGCAUAAAUACAUACAAUUUUUUCAUUGCGUAUGAUCGAUUCCGGUCGAGCUUCAAGCAAACCAAGUCGACCCGGCCGAAGCCGCCCACACCUAUCGUAGCCACAGUUUCGAAGUCCGUCAGCUCCACGCGGAAUAGUUCCGGGUUGUUUAUUCUAUUGCUAUAGCCAAAUUGAACAUGCAAAUUAACAUUAUGGUUAGUAUUUACUUUUUUGUACGUGUACAGGAAAUUGUUUGAUUAACGAAAUAUAUUACCUAUUUAAUUUGGAGAAAUUAUGUUUUAAGUAAACCAUAUGGUUAGAUUAUACAUGUCACCGUAAUAGCUGCGAAGGUAAAACACUCUCGACGAUAAUCUAUUUAGGUGCUUAUAAAUGUUAUUUCAUUUUUAUUAAUCAAUGUCAGCAUCUGUUAAUUGUUCAU